rnacentral:rRNA from 1 species
GACGAACCGAGCGAACGGUUGUUCGGAAUCACUGGGCUUAAAGGGCGCGGUAGGCGGGCUGUCAAGUCUGGGGUGAAAUCCCGCGGCUCAACCGUGGAACUGCCUCAGAUAACUGACGGUCUCGAGGGAGGUAGGGGCGAGCGGAACUGAUGGUGGAGCGGUGAAAUGCGUUGAUAUCAUCAGGAACUCCGGUGGCGAAGGCGGCUCGCUGGACCUCUUCUGACGCUGAGGAACGAAAGCCAGGGGAGGCGAAACGGGAU